rnacentral:rRNA from 1 species
AUACGGAGGAUGCAAGCGUUAUCCGGAUUUAUUGGGUUUAAAGGGUGCGUAGGCGGUUUGCUAAGCGGGAGGUGAAAUGCCGGCGCUCAACGUCGGAAGUGCCUCCCGAACUGGUGGACUUGAAUGACUCUGCCGUGGGAGGAAUGUGUAGUGUAGCGGUGAAAUGCUUAGAGAUUACACAGAACACCGAUUGCGAAGGCAACUCACGAAGGGUUGAUUGACGCUUAGGCACGAAAGCGUGGGGAUCAAACAGGAUUAGAUACCCUGGUAGUCCACGCAGUAAACGAUGAUGGCUAACCGCUGGUUUAUUCGGAUCAGUGGCCAAGCGAAAGCGAUAAGCCAUCCACCUGGGGAGUACGACCGCAAGGUUGAAACUCAAAUGAAUUGGCGGGG